rnacentral:rRNA from 1 species
AUUGAACGCUGGCGGCAUGCCUUACACAUGCAAGUCGAACGGCAGCACGGGAGCAAUCCUGGUGGCGAGUGGCGAACGGGUGAGUAAUACAUCGGAACGUGCCCAGUAGUGGGGGGAUAACCCGGCGAAAGCCGGACUAAUACCGCAUACGACCUACGGGUGAAAGCAGGGGAUCGCAAGACCUUGCGCUAUGGAGCGGCCGAUGUCAGAUUAGCUUGNGGUGGGUAAAGCCUACCAAGGCAACGAUCUGUAGCUGUCUGAGAGGACGACCAGCCACACUGGGACUGAGACACGGCCCAGACUCCUACGGGAGGCAGCAGUGGGGAAUUUUGGACAAUGGGCGCAAGCCUGAUCCAGCCAUGCCGCGUGCGGGAAGAAGGCC